GAUGAACGCUGGCGGCGUGCCUAAUACAUGCAAGUCGAGCGAACGGACGAGAAGCUUGCUUCUCUGAUGUUAGCGGCGGACGGGUGAGUAACACGUGGAUAACCUACCUAUAAGACUGGGAUAACUUCGGGAAACCGGAGCUAAUACCGGAUGAUAUUUUGAACCGCAUGGUUCAAAAGUGAAAGACGGUCUUGCUGUCACUUAUAGAUGGAUCCGCGCUGCAUUAGCUAGUUGGUAAGGUAACGGCUUACCAAGGCAACGAUGCAUAGCCGACCUGAGAGAGUGAUCGGCCACACUGGAACUGGGACACGGUCCCGACUCCUACGGGAGGCAGCAGUAGGGAAUCUUCCGCAAUGGGCGAAAGCCUUACGGAGCAACGCCGCGUGAGUGAUGAAGUUCUUCGGAUCGUAAAACUCUGUUAUUAGGGAAGAACAUAUGUGUAAGUAACUGUGCACAUCUUGACGGUACCUAAUCAGAAAGCCACGGCUAACUACGUG
rnacentral:rRNA from 1 species